GGCCCUUCCGGGCAAGCAAGCGGGGCUGAGUUUGAAGAGGAUCAUUUUGGGAUUGAUGUCCUCUUGCUUCUAUGUUCUAUAAUUGGGGAACCACACCAUUCCACAAAAUCUCGGUGUCAAAUUCAUAUCGAAAGUUAAUAAGAAAGACUACAAUUUAUGUAUUAUUUUCAAAAUAUGACUUAAAUCAUUUUCCAAUAGAAUUAGAAGUAAAAAUAUUUGAAAUUCAUGUACGAAAGUAAAUAUAUAAACCCCAAAUUUAUGUACCCUUCUCAUCCUUAUAGAAUUUCUGCAAUUAUUAAUAAACUUCAGGAGCCAAAAGAACCGAAACAACAAUGGCGAUGUUCACUGAGGUGGCUGGCGGUGUCGGAACGUUAUCGGAGCUCUAUUGGAGUUCCCGGCGGGUGUUACUCAAAACCAGAGAUGGCUUAGAGAAGCUCGAGCAUUUUGAAUACACCUCUUCUUCCUCCGAGUUGUCAUCGGGCGCCGCCGUGAAUGAUCCUUCGGAGAAAGCAGUUGAGGAUUUGAGAAAAGAUAUCAGCCAAAUCCAGUUACUUUGCUCCGAAAUGGAACGUCUUUGGCAUUCCAUACCUGCUAAAUCUUAACGUGAUCUCUGGAAAAAGGAAAGUGGAACUAAUGGCUGACUCUUUGAAAGAUAGUGUGGACAAAUAUAACCUACGGCAUCGGAGAAGGAUGCAAGAAGUCCGGGAGAGAACAGAAUUACUUGGGAGAGUUGUGUGUAAUUUUUUUAGUGCAUGUAUGAUGAAUAAUUCUGUAGUCUCAUGAAUUCCAUCUAAUUUAUUUUUAUAAUGUUGUAGAGCGCUGAUUCAUCUCAUGUUUUGAGGAUUUUUGAUGACAAAGCUCAGGCAAUGCAAUCUGCUCGUAGCUCAUCCAGAAUGCUUGAAGAAACCUUGGCAACAGAGACAGAAGGCUGAGAAGUUGUACUCAUUGGCUGACGGUGGUUUGCUUCCUUCUCAUUGGGCAAAUAGAUGGGCAAUGAAAGAUCUGUGGCUUCUAAACUUAGUUAUGAAGCAAGAUAAUCAAGUUUUACUCUUUACUACUGCCUCUUCUAUAUUAAAAAGAAGGGAGCAACUAAGCAAGAAUGUGAAUAGGGACUGUUAACAAGUCAUACUAUUUGAGCUCCUAUUGGCUGGCUCUGGUUCAGAGACUAUUUUUGAUCUUGUCCCAAAUCUUCGGUCUGAAAUUGGUGGCUGAUCACAUAAACUUGCUUAUCCUAGUUGACAUUGAUGAAUUUUCAGAUUAAAUAUGCAAGUUCUUGGCUGGUAACCCCUGUGUUAAUGUGAAGAAAAAGAUCUACUUAUACUAAUACAAUGAAGGGGAACCUUGAAUAAUGGUAAAGUUGUCUCCGUGUGACCUAUAAAUCAAGGAUUCAAACUGUGGAGUCAAUGUGACCUAUAAAUCAAGGAUUCAAACUGUGGAUUCAGUGCUUUGUUAGGGUAACUUCCUAUAUUAAGCCCCUUGCGGUGUGGCCCUUCCCUAGACCCCGCUUGAACAUGUAAUGCUUGAUGCAUCAGACUUCCCUUUUACUUAUAAUAUAUUUAAUAUAGAUGCUCGCUCUCCUAUUUACUCUUAUUAAGAGAAGUCUUUGCCAUGAUCAGUGCUAGUGUCUACAAAUAAGUCAAAACUUUACGUUAAGUCUUCCCCGCUAUUGUUGAACUCUUGGUAUCUUAUGUGAUGAUUUGUUGCAGUGAGCUCAACGAAAAGCAUUAGAUGUGCGCAACACUGUGGGGAUAUCAAAUUCUGUAAUAAGACUUAUUGAGAAGAGGAAUCGUGUUGAUAGAUGGAUCAAAUAUGCUGGAAUGAUCUUAACAGUUAUAGUGCUGACUUUCGUUUGGAGGUGGAUAAGAUGAUAGUGCUUGAUAAUCGACUAAACCAUCAGGAUGAAUUCUUAGUUAAAGAUUUUUGUUUUGAUAGGAUUUAAUUAAAGUCUACUCAAAUCCCAUUUAGAAGAUAGAACUCGUAAACAAAUCUUGAUAAGCAUUGUAUUGCAAUUGGGGUUGAAUGGAGCCUGUAAAUUGUAAAUGAGAUCUUGAUAGUAAAUAUACUAGUACUAUUUCUUUUAUUUUUUCUGGAGAGAGGGGGGAACCAAACUGGCAAUAUGACAACUUUUUGUAUGUAUAUCUAAUUCUUUGAUGAAAAGACCACUACAAUGCCUUCACAUUC